rnacentral:rRNA from 1 species
UACGAAGGGGGCUAGCGUUGUUCGGAAUUACUGGGCGUAAAGCGCGCGCAGGCGGCCUUCCAAGUCAGGGGUGAAAUCCCAGAGCUCAACUCUGGAAUUGCCUCUGAGACUGUGAGGCUUCGAGUACGGAAGAGGUGAGUGGAAUUCCCAGUGUAGAGGUGAAAUUCGUAGAUAUUGGGAAGAACACCGGUGGCGAAGGCGGCUCACUGGUCCGUUACUGACGCUCAUGCGCGACAGCGUGGGGAUCAAACAGG